rnacentral:rRNA from 1 species
AGGAUAAACGCUGGCGGCGUGCUUAAUACAUGCAAGUCGAGCGGCAGCAUGCACUUCGGUGUGAUGGCGAGCGGCGGACGGCUGAGUAACGCGUAGGAAUAUACCCCAAAGUGAGGGAUAACUGCCCGAAAGGGUAGCUAAUACCGCAUGUGGUCUUCGGAUUAAAGCUUUAUGCGCUUUGGGAAUGGCCUGCGUACGAUUAGCUUGUUGGUGAGGUAAUAGCUCACCAAGGCGAUGAUCGUUA